UAAUAUGAGUGCAAUCUGGCUGUGACAUCUGUCACCCCAUUUAUCUCCAGGGUUGAUUCCGCUGAUCUGGCUGGCAAAGCAUAUUACCCUUCCUCCCUCAUGCAUCCCUCUUAAAGUUGCAUGUUCAGUUUAAGAGGAUGAGCUUCCUCGAAUAGAGACAGACUGAACUUUGGUUCAGGGUAUACAAGUAGCAUUACUCCCUUCUAGCAUCUCCAAACAAGUCCUCAAAGUCCAAAAACUCUUGCAGGUUCAAGAGAUUAUUCUCAUUGUUUUGCAUUUAUAGAACUUAUUUUUU
rnacentral:snRNA from 1 species